rnacentral:misc_RNA from 1 species
UGUGUGCUUGUACCUGCUUUAGC